AAAAAAAUAUCGGCAAUAAGAAUAAGAUAAGAUUAUCGAAUCCGAUCCAAGCUGAAUUAUUUUAUAAACGACUUUGUUGUCUGAACGCGUUAAAAGAAAGACAACUCUAAUAGGACUAUUGCAUCAUCCAUGAUUUAUCUCCCAUUUCAUACUAAUGUAUUUAUCGACCGAAAUGAUUCUGGUAAAAAACAGACACUUUAUUCGUACAGUGGUUA
rnacentral:lncRNA from 1 species